GUACAAGUCUCCGUAGUGAACCUGCGGAGGGAUCAUUACCGAGUUAGGGUCUCACCGGCCCGAUCUCCCAACCCGUUGUCUACUUGACCAUCGUUGCUUCGGCGAGCCCGUCCUCAUGGACCGCCGGGGGGCCUUCGUGCCCCCGGGCCCGCGCUCGUCGAUAGCCCCCCAUUUAAAAUCUUAAUUAAACGUGUCUUGAAUCUAAGUAUUAUUGUUAAAUAAAAACAAAACUUUCAACAACGGAUCUCUUGGUUCUGGCAUCGAUGAAGAACGCAGCGAAAUGCGAUAAGUAAUGCGAAUUGCAGAAUUCCAGUGAGUCAUCGAAUCUUUGAACGCACAUUGCGCCCUUUGGUAUUCCGAAGGGCAUGCCUGUUCGAGCGUCAUUAUCACCCCUCAAGCCCCUCGGCUUGGUGUUGGACGGUUUGGCGGCGACCUGUUACAGGCCUCCACCCCUCCCAAAGACAAUGACGGCGGCCUCGUUGGACCCCCGGUACACUGAGUUCUUCACGGGACACGUAUCGGACACACGGGUCUACGGGACACGGUCUGCCUCCCCUCAGGGAGAAUCUUCUAUCAAGGUUGACCUCGGAUCAGGUAGGGAUACCCGCUGAACUAA
rnacentral:rRNA from 1 species